AAAAAUUAGUAAAGGAACACUUAGAAGGAAAAUAGAACCUGAUUUGCACACAGAGUCACCAACUCCCGCAAAGAGGCAAGAGUUCUAGUCUUCAGAGAAUAACAUCAGUACAGAACAGCAGUAUGUUUUAGACAUUCUUACUUGAAGAUAUUACUAUUUAAUAUUGUAAUUGAAAUAUCACCUAAAUUUACAAUUUAUUUGCAAGUGUCCUAAGGCAUAUUUAAAAGAUUUUUAUAAAGGAAAAAAAGUGUUCAUGUUGUACAAGUGAUUUCUUAAUUAUAUGACAUUUCAACAUUUGUUCAUUACAAAUACAGGUCUUAACUUCCUGUUUCUAUUAGAUACAUGGUUACCAUGGUUUGUUGUGUAUAAGUUUAAAAUGUUAUUAGAAAUAUUUAGUAAGAAGUAAGGUUGCAGCACUGAUUGUUAAUUUCCUUGUUAUUUGGAAUUAAAUGAAGAUCAGAUUUAGACCAAAAGAAAUUGGAUUUUUUUUAAUAUAAAUUGUUCCUUUGGAAUUAUAAUGUGCUUUCUUCUCCUUUGGGGUAAAAAGGUAUUUUAUUACAAAGAAAAGCUCUACAUAGCUAUACAUAUAUCAAUCCACUAAUGAUAAUGAUAUUUACUUUGUAUUUAUCUCAUAAUGAAACUUUAAAAUAAAAGAUAGGUUUUCUGGUGGAAACAUAAUAAAAAUAGAUUUUAUAAUAAAAAA
rnacentral:lncRNA from 1 species